rnacentral:rRNA from 1 species
GAUGAACGCUAGCGGCAUGCUUUACACAUGCAAGUCGAACGGCAGCGCGGGGGCAACCCUGGCGGCGAGUGGCGAACGGGUGAGUAAUAUAUCGGAACGUACCCAAGAGUGGGGGAUAACGUAGUGAAAGUUACGCUAAUACCGCAUACGAUCUAAGGAUGAAAGCAGGGGAUCUUCGGACCUUGUGCUCCUGGAGCGGC